rnacentral:lncRNA from 1 species
CAUUCUUAAUCACACCACCUGACUUUCUCCACAUUGAUCACAUUAGGAUAUUAUCUUGUUUAUUUACAGAAAAUCUGUGUCCCUCUUCAGUGCACUGGACUCUUCGGUGCACUGGAUGCUCAAUGCAGGCACUAAGUUUUGUCUGACUUACCACUGGUUGUAUGCCCUGCUCACAGCUGGUGAAUGAGUGAUUGGAAACACACCUGCUCCCUUGAUUUAGGCCUCUGGGAAACAAGGGCAAGAGACAAGACCUGAAGGAUUGCUAAAGAAUGCCCUUGGUAACAACUGUUUCUCCAGGACCUUGUUUGGCUUCCCCCUGGCUGGGUGGAACCCGCUGUGUGCAGCCUUCGCAGGGAGGUGGGCCGAAGGCUGCCAACGUUGGAGCAGGAGAGGAAGCUGAGAUCCUGAAAGAGGUGGGGCCCGGCCCAGGGUCACUCAGCAAUUUUCAGUAGCUGCUCCCUACUGGGGAACUGUGUGUCUGAGGUCGUGGCCAUCUGUCCAAAGAGCUUCUUCUGACCAAAGUGCUCAUUUUCAUAGUGUGACCACAGAGUUAUUUGGGGUGGCCACCCCCAUCCCACAGCUGCUCCCACCCUUCUCUGCUGUAGAAAUGGAGGAGGGAAGGCCCAGUGGCUCCAGUGUGAGGGGAAGAGACCUGACUGCACCUGGGCUGUGUCUUCUCCGUCCACAGUACACCCGUGGGAAGAGGAGUCGGGGCAUCCCUUGCUGGAAAUACCCCAGCCCUGAAGGUUGCUGGCAAAACCACCAUUUAAUUCAGAACAAAAAGUCUGCUCCAGGAGCCCCUGAGAGCGUCAAAAAGAACAAGGUGGGUGGGUUGGGGGGAAACAUCACUGAGAGGCUACCUAGGCCUGGAUCCCCGGCAGAUGCAGGUCCACAACCCGACGCCGACCACUGGCCGGCCCUCCCGAGUGUCUGACUGCGGGACUACCUGGCAUCCACUCGAAGAGACCAGCCUGGGGCAUCCCUCCCUGCGCCCCAACCCCUGUGGACACUCCCUCGGGAGCAUUUCUAACUAGGCCUGGGUAUGUGAAAAAAGAGGAAUCCUUUCGCAGAAGGCAGGCUGGACCUGGGAAAACAGUUCUCCAUGGAUGGAGAAGUGAGGGGAUAAAGGAUGAUGAACUUAGCUGUUUUCUUUCCUGUCCACAUUGUUUCUAGGUUCUUUGGAACCAGGGGUCAUCUUUUAUCUCCCACAGUAACUCAUGUCUGCCUUAGACUUAUUUCCAACCCCUCAAGAUCAGUUGAAGAUCUUUGUAGGAUCUACACAUUCAUACUUUACUUACUGACACCCCACAACCUGUAAACCAUAACAAAAUGCACCUGCUGCACACAUCUGAAAGGUUUUCUUUUUUUUUGUUUUGUUUUGUUUGAGACAGAAUCUUGCUCUAUUGCCCAGGCUGGAGUGCAAUGGCGUGAUCUCAGCUCACUGCAACCUCUGCCUCCCGGGUUCAAGUGAUUUUCCCCCCUCAGCCUCCCAAGUAGCUAGGAUUACAGGCAUGCACCACCAUGCCCAGCUAAUUUUUGUAUUUUUAGUAGAGACAGGGUUUCACCAUGUUGGCCGGGCUGGUGUCGAACUCCUGACCUCAGGUGAUCUGCCCGCCUUGGCCUCCCAAAGUGCUUGGAUUACAAGCGUGAGUACCAUGCCCAGCCAACAUUUUCUUUGCUAUAAAAUGUUUUAAAAUGUAUAACUGAGUUUUGCCAGCUGAAUAUAGUUCAAUUUGUUCUUGUGAUUCAAACUUUAUUAUGUUUUUAUAUAAAGCUAUAUCAAGAAUCCAAAAACAUUCUAUACAUUUGGAAGUUUAAAGACAAGCCUCUAAAUAGGUCACAAUCAAAGAGGAAAUCACAAUGUAAAUGGGAAAAUACCUAGAACUGAAGGACAAUGAAAACCCUACCUAGUUAAAUGCGUGGGAGGCAGGUAAGGUUGUACCUAAGAGAAAAUAUAUGGCCUUAAAUAAAUGCACAUAUAUAAUCAGGAAGAAAGACCAAAAAAUAAUGAGUUAAAGUUUCAACUCAACAAAUUAGAAAAGGACACCAGAGUAAAUCCAAAGAAAAUGAAAGAGAAUGAUAAAAAUAAUAGUAGAAAUUAAUUAGAAUGCACUCAGAGUAUCAACAAAACCAGAAGUUGGCUCUUUGAAAAUGAAGACAAAUAACUAAGACUAAUAACUAAGACAAAUAACUAAGAUAUUAUUUAUGAAAAAAAAGAAAAUUAUACAUUUUAUGAAUGGAAACAGAGGCACUACAGACAUGGUAGAGAUUAAAAAAUAAAAGGACAAGCCAAGCACACUGGCAUGUGCCUCUAAUCCCAGCUACUUGGGAGACUGAGACAGGAGGAUCACUUGAGACUAGGAGUUUGAGGCUGCAGUGAGCUGUGAUCAUGUCACUGCACUCCAGUGUGGGUGACAGAGGGCGACCCUGUCUCUGAAAAGUAAAUACACAGAGAUAAGAGAACACUUUGAAGCAGCUAUAUACCAAUGAAUUUGAAAAUUUAGAAGAAAACGACAAUUUCCUGGGAAAACACAACCUACCAAAAUCACUUUUGAGGACUGCAGUACACCUACAUUCAUUAUAUUGAAUCAGUAGUUUUACAUGCAGCCAAGAGACUCUACAAAACCUCUGUGAUUUUGCAAGAAAGUCCUAACAAAUAAAAAACAGAUAAUCCUUGUAUUGUUCCAGAGAAUAAAAAAUGAGAGAAAACUCCCUGUGCUAGUCUGUUUUCACACUGCUAUAAACAACCUCUCUGGCCGGGCGCGGUGGCUCACGCCUGUAAUCCUA